AACUCAGGAUAGACUGGGAAAGUUUGAAGGGAGCUAUGAUAACAGAGGUCAGACCGAAAGAGGCAAUUUCCUGCAUCCAGAAGGCAAGGAUUAUUUCUAUAAUGUGAUUCUGGCUAUUUCUGGGGGUUGGAGGGGACCCAAAGAAAUCCUCAGGAAUCCUCGUGAAUAGUUUUUGGUUUUUGUUUUGUUUUUCUGUGAGAAAACCAUGCAUUUAAUAAUUCUAGAUUUUCUAUAGUUGGUUAACAAGAGGCUAAAAAUUUUUGUUUAUAAAAUAGAUUUGGAUGUGGAUAAUACAGACAUAAGAUUUUUGGAAAAUGAAUGACAAAGGAUGAUUUGAUAACCCUAAAAUAAGAACCUGAGCAAGAGGAAAAUAUAAUUUUCCGGGAAGAGUAACAAGGCAUACCUGAAACCCUCCAGAAAGUGGGCAGCUUCUUAAAAGUCAGUUUAAAUGUAAAAGCUGACUGCAUAGUGACUCAUGUCUUAUUAAAACACAACCCUUAUUUAUAAAGUUAAGACUCCAUGUUGAAAUUUUUUCUGUUUUAUUGAAAAGACAAGGGCAUGUGGGUUUUAUGCUACCUAUCAGUCUUCCAGGCCUUUGUUCUUCUUCUUUUUUUCUGAGAUGGUGUGAGAAGUUGAGAAAAAAGAACUCAUCCAGAUAAUUCCUAGUUACCCAGAGAGGCUGGAUGUAGAUACUGAAUGAAGGUGUCAUAAAUGCUGCUGGACCUUCCUAUAGUACCAGCGUUACUUGGCAGCUUUGUCUGGUUCAGCGCUCUUACAUUUAAAUGAAUCAGAAAUGUACAAUUGGCUUGGGAAGAAAACACAGCCAGCCACAGGGGAGCAAGCUCAAAGAAGUUGCAAAACGAGAAGGAGGAGAUGAGAGAAAUCAGAGAAGGAAGCAAGCAUUCUGACUUUUGACUGAGAGUCUCUGCCAGUUUUGCCUCACAUAUGAACACUUAUUUACUUUGCACACUAUUGCAAUCUGUAAUAUUGCAAAACAUAAAGUCAAAUAUUCUUCCCUUGUUUUAAUACUCAACAAGACCUCAGCCUUAUUAGCUUUUACCAAUUAUUAUGAAAACUUAAUAUGGCCUCCAAGUAACAUCAUUCUCAGACCAUAUUCCCAAUUGUGAAUAUUGUCCCUAGAUUGGACCUAGGUUAAAACAUUAGAUGUUAGUAUCAAAAAGGAGAAUUAUAACCAAAUAAAAACCAGAAAGAUCCCACAUCUUAGAAAUGAAGAUGUUCAUCUGUGUAAGCACAUAGCUUUAUAGUAAAAUCUGUAGCUACCAUACAGGAGAUGAACUAUAAUGACUCUCUUUAUAUCUCUACCUAUCUGUCUAUAUAUUUGCUAUAACGUAUAUUAAGAUAAAUAACUGACCAACAUAUAAAUAUAUAAAUGGGAAUUUUAAAUUCACUUUCACAUCUAAUUCACAAAAAUACAAAAUGAAAAUUAAUUUUAUGCUUUACAAAGUUUAUUGCCAAUGGUAUUUUUAAGACUGUAAACACCAUUUGUAGUAAGCAGACUAAUAUCUUCCCUCAAAGAUGUCCCCAUUCUAAUUCCCAGAACUGUUACAUGGCAAUAUGUUAGGUUACAUGGCAUGGCAAAGGGGAAUUAAGGGUCCAAAUGGAAUUAAGACUGCUAAUCAGCUAAAUUUAUUUUGUUUUUAUUUAUUUAUUAUUAUUUUUUUUAAUGAGAUGGAGUUUUGCUCUUGUUGCCCAGGCUGGAGUGCAAUGGCACGAUCUCGGCUCACCGCAACCUCCACCUCUUGGGUUCAAGCGAUUCUCCUGACUCAGUCUCCCAAGUAGCUGGGAUUACAGGCAUGUGCCACCAUGCCCAGCUAAUUUUGUAUUGUUAGUAGAGACUGGGUUUCUCAAUGUUGGUCAGGCUGGUCUCGAACUCCCUACCCCAGGUGAUCCGCCUGCCUCGGCCUCCCAAAGUGCUGGGAUUACAGGCAUGAGCCACUGCACCUGGCCUAAUCAGCUAAAUUUAAAAUAGGGGGAUUAUCCUGGAUUAUUCACAGGGACCGUAUGGAUCACAAAGGUCCUUAAAAUUGGAAGGAGACAGAAGAGAGAGUCAGAGGGAGAUCUGACUAUGAAAGAAAGGCAUGGGAGAUGCAAUGUUUCCAGCUUUGUAGAUGGAGGAAGCAGGUCUCUAGAGGUUGUAGUAUGCAAGAAAACAUCCUCUCCUAGAGCCUCCAGAAAGGACUGCAAUGCUGCCAACACCUUGUUAUUUUGCCCAACCUGUGCUGAGCUUCUGACCUACGGAAUUGUAGGAUAAUAAGUUUGUGUUAUUGUAAGUGAAUAAAUUUUUGAUAGUUUGUUAUGGCAGUGAGUAGAAAAUUAAUACACCUUAAAAUUAGUCAAUUUUGUCAAAUUAGACUUGUUUUCAAGUGUUAAUAAAAUUCACCUAAAACACA